GGCGUAGCUCAAUUGGUAGAGUGGUGGUCUCCAAAACCAUAGGUUGAGGGUUCGAGCCCUUCCGCCU
rnacentral:tRNA from 1 species